CUACGGGAUGCAGCAGUGAGGAAUUUUGCGCAAUGGGGGGAACCCUGACGCAGCAACGCCGCGUGAGUGAUGAAGGCUUUCGGGUCGUAAAGCUCUGUCAAGUGGGAAGAACCUAUGCAGUGUUAAUAUCACUGUAUACUGACGGUACCACUGAAGGAAGCACCGGCUAACUCCGUGCCAGCAGCCGCGGUAAUACGGGGGGUGCAAGCGUUAUUCGGAAUCAUUGGGCGUAAAGGGCACGUAGGCGGCUUGGUAAGUCAGAUGUGAAAGCCCGGGGCUUAACCCCGGAAGUGCAUUUGAUACUGUCAGGCUUGAGUAUGGGAGAGGGAAGUGGAAUUCCUGGUGUAGAGGUGAAAUUCGUAGAUAUCAGGAGGAACACCGGUGGCGAAGGCGACUUCCUGGACCUAUACUGACGCUGAGGUGUGAAGGCGUGGGUAGCAAACAGGAUUAGAUACCCCAGUAGUC
rnacentral:rRNA from 1 species